CUGAAGGGAGCAGAGCACCUUAGCUCUAAGCGUAGAGAAAGGGCAGAUAACUGGACCACAGUUAAACUUUUUCUGAUAGAAGAAUUAAAAUAUUUAAUAGAGAAGAUGCCAAAGUUAUUUUAUUUUUUUGUUUUUAUGUUUUUAGGGGGAUGCCAACUUCAUUUACACUUGGCUCAUUCUGCACCCAUAAAACUCAACGGAUCAUCAAACGAACCAAAUGAAAACAAUGAAACCUAUCAAGACAGUGGAUAUCCACCAAAAUACUCAGGCGGAAUGAAAAAUGAGAGCAUCAUCACAGAGACAAAAACCCAGAGAGAUGAUGAUAUAGCAUAUGCUAUACCUAAGCGAUACAUCAAAUGGAACAUAGGGAAUAUGGAUUUGUAAAAUUCAAUCCGAAAGUGCCCUGUAAUCUCCUUUCAUAAGGCAUGCACAACUUGCAACAAUAAAUGCAUCAUUGAAU